rnacentral:rRNA from 1 species
UGGGGAAUAUUGGACAAUGGGCGCAAGCCUGAUCCAGCCAUGCCGCGUGAGUGAUGAAGGCCCUAGGGUUGUAAAGCUCUUUCACCGGUGAAGAUAAUGACGGUAACCGGAGAAGAAGCCCCGGCUAGCUUCGUGCCAGCAGCCGCGGUAAUACGAAGGGGGCUAGCGUUGUUCGGAUUUACUGGGCGUAAAGCGCACGUAGGCGGACUUUUAAGUCAGGGGUGAAAUCCCGGGGCUCAACCCCGGAACUGCCUUUGAUACUGGAAGUCUUGAGUAUGGUAGAGGUGAGUGGAAUUCCGAGUGUAGAGGUGAAAUUCGUAGAUAUUCGGAGGAACACCAGUGGCGAAGGCGGCUCACUGGACCAUUACUGACGCUGAGGUGCGAAAGCGUGGGGAGCAAACAGG